GAAAUGCGAUAAGUAGUGUGAAUUGCAGAAUUCAGUGAAUCAUCGAAUCUUUGAACGCACAUUGCGCCCCUUGGUAUUCCAUGGGGCAUGCCUGUUCGAGCGUCAUUUGUACCCUCAAGCUCUGCUUGGUGUUGGGUGUUUGUCCCCGUCUCCGCGCGUGGACUCGCCCCAAAGUGAUUGGCAGCCGGCGUACUGGUCCCGGAGCGCAGCACAUGUCGCGCUAACGAGUGCCUUGGUACGGCGGCGUCCAUAAGCCCCUCUCUCACGCUCUUGACCUCGGAUCAGGUAGGGAUACCCGCUGAACUUAAGC
rnacentral:misc_RNA from 1 species